UACAGAGGUCUCAAGCGUUGUUCGGAUUCAUUGGGCGUAAAGGGCGCGUAGGCUGCGGGGCAAGUCGGGUGUGAAAUCUCAGGGCUCAACUCUGAAACUGCACUCGAUACUGCUUUGCUCGAGGACUGGAGAGGAGAUUGGAAUUCACGGUGUAGCAGUGAAAUGCGUAGAUAUCGUGAGGAAGACCAGUGGCGAAGGCGGAUCUCUGGACAGUUCCUGACGCUGAGGCACGAAGGCCAGGGGAGCAAACGGG
rnacentral:rRNA from 1 species